rnacentral:lncRNA from 10 species
AAAAUAAAUUUAAUUGAUUAAAAUAAGAAUAAAUAUUUACCCAACAGGAAUAUUAUUAUUUAAUUUAUCUAUACUUUAAAGCCACUGGCAAGAGAUUAACAUGUUAAAAAUGUUGAAACCAUUAACUUCACACAUAAUGUAAAAUUUUAAAAAUGUGCUGCAUUUUAUUAUAUAAAAGUACAAUUAGUACAAUAAUAUACUAAUAAUAUACUACUAGUUUUCUCAUAAUGCAAAAGAACAAUACUCUUAACACCUACCUCAUAUAUCACUCAAGAGUAUAAGUUAACCACAAAGAACCUCUCCACUUUUUCAUCAUGCAUCUUACAUUCUAAUGUCCUUACUUGUCCAUAGAAAAGAUCAUAAAUGCCCACCUAAUGGAAAAGAAUCUCUCAUACCUUUGAUGCAACAAUUAUCACAUGCUUUCACAAGUGAAUAAGAAUGAAGAAACACCAGAAAAUGAGUGUUGAAUUACAUCAUUUGCUUUCAAAGUCUGUAAUUUUUUCAAGAAAUAAAGUAUACUUAGAAUGUAGUUAUUACUCUGCAAAAAAUCUUUUACUCCUCUUAAAUUUAUAUACAAAUACUUUUUCUAUCAACUUUAGUUUUAGAUUAUUUUCUAUACUCAGAACUCUUGACUUAGUAUAUCUGCAGUGUCAGUUCCUUAUAUAUUUCUAUUAUAAAUUCUGAUAUUUACAUAGCCCUAAUUUGGAUUAAAUAUUUUUUCAUUUUUAGUGCAUCUUCAAAAAUAUUCUUCAGUAUAAACUCUGGUGUUUUCUGAUGUAGUUUUUGAAAAAGUGUUUUUCCACAUUUAUUAUAUCUGCAAGACACUUUUCCAAUAUAAGUGCCCUAAUGUUGAACAAAGCUUGAGCAACUGCUUCAGAGUUUUCCUCUAGUACAAAAUGUGUACAAUAAAAUUUGAUUCAAGUAAAGGUACUACAACCCUCUUUAUGUUUGUAAUGUCCAUCUUCAAUAUAAAUUCUCUUCUUCACUUUAAAGGGUUAUAUUUUUCUGAAAGACCUUUUGACAGUAAUUGCCCUUAUCUUGCUUUUAUUAAGUAUGAACUCUCUGGUGUUAAGAUGUAAGCAGAUAUUAAUGUCUUUUUCACAGUCUGUAUUUGUAUAAUUUUUCUCAAACAUAAAUGCUUUUCUGUGCAAUAAGGUGGUUAAGUUUUGCCACAUUGCUCUCACUUGUAGGAUUUCUUUCCAGUAUGAAUUAUAUUGAAUGUAAUCAAGUAAGGCAGGGAGUGGUGUUGUCAAAAGCAUUAUUGCAUCUUUCUGGUUUGUGGAGUUUCUUUCCAGUAUGAAUUAUCUUAUGUGUGUUAAGAUCUGAGGACUAGUGGCUGAGCGUGGUGGCUCAU